GACGAACCGUGCGAACGUUGUUCGGAAUCACUGGGCUUAAAGGGCGCGUAGGCGGGCCGACAAGUCCGGGGUGAAAGCCCCCAGCUCAACUGGGGAAGCGCCUUGGAUACUUUUGGCCUGGAGGGAGGUAGGGGCGUGCGGAACUUCCGGUGGAGCGGUGAAAUGCGUAGAUAUCGGAAGGAACACCGGUGGCGAAAGCGGCGCGCUGGACCUCUUCUGACGCUGAUGCGCGAAAGCCAGGGGAGCAAACGGG
rnacentral:rRNA from 1 species